rfam:Sulfobacillus acidophilus TPY, complete genome.
GGGGGCGAACUAGAUUCGACGGAGAUGGACGGGGUGCCGGAUAGCGAGCCGAGCUCUGUGUCUCGAUAAUCCACAGGACACAAUAAGUGCCAACGAAGACUCUUACGAAUACGCUUUAGCUGCUUAAUCCCAGCUAACGUUUGACGAUCAGGCGCCUAUCCCUCGUCGCCAAACGUAAAAAUCGAUAGGCUACCGAUGCGACGGCCCGAUCGCAUGCGGGACAUGAAGGGCUGGCAGGACGUCACCGAGCUUCAGACGGGGAUGUCACGCGAGAACAAAAUCUGAAGCUACGCUCGUAGAAGUCCGGUAUAACGUGUCUUCGGACGGGACGGGCAGCACGUCCCCGCCUCCACCA